UACAAAAUACUGCACCAAAUAAUUCCUACAAACUCUUUUUUUGUACAAGAUAAAGAAGAAAGAUUCUAGUUCAUGUACUUUUUGUAAACUUGAUGACGAAACUAUUGUACAUUUUUUCUAUGAUUGUCCAAUAACAUAUCAAUUUUGGUCAUCAUUAUUACAGCAAAUAAGAUUGUAUAGCAGGGAUUUUGCCAUCAGUAAAAAGCAGAUAUUCCUUGGUUUCUAUUCAGAAAGCUUAUUCAUGAAUCUUU
rnacentral:lncRNA from 1 species